AACGCACCUUGCGCCCUUUGGCCAUUCCGAAGGGCAUUGCCUGUUGAGUAUCAUGAACACCUCAACUCUUGCGGUUCGCCACAACGAGCUUGGGACUUUGGAGGCUUUGCCGGUCUGCGGUCGGCUCCUCUCAAAUGAAUCAGCUGCCGGUGCAUUGGUGGCGUCGCAGGUGUGAUAACUAUCUACGCUUGUGGUCGUUUGCCAGAAAACCUCCAGCGUCGUUGGAGGUUCGCUGGGGCUCAUAAACGUCUCCCGAGCGGAGACAGCCUUCUGAACGUUUGAUCUCAAAUCAGGUAGGACUACCCGCUGAACUUAA
rnacentral:rRNA from 1 species